CUGACUCUCUAGAGUAAUUCUAACACAGGUUUCUCAUAAAAUUUCAGAUGGCAAAGCUGAACUGGAUAAGAAAUUACAGAAUUCUAAUAGAGAAACUGAUGGCUUCAUAAAACUGUUAACAAAAGAUCAAGAAUUCAUAUUUGUUAUGAAUUACCCGGCACUACAAAAACUGAGGAGGAUGCGCUAAUGUUUUAUUUUUCCAGAUUUAAAGAAAUCUUUUCUCUUAAGCCAUCAACAAACUGCUAAGGCAUAGCUUUGUGAACAAAGAUGAACAUUUACCUUUUCUCCCUACCAGACCCCUUCAGAAUUCAGAAACUCUCAGUGGGUAUUUUUUUUUUCCCUCCUGCUGGGAAAGAUUACUACUCAGCUAUCGUCCGUUGCCAAUCUUCCUCUUUUUUUUUUCCUCCCCAAAGCCCCAGUGCAUGGCUGUAUAUCCUAGUUGUAGGGCCUCCUAGGUCUUCUGGGUGAGCCACCUCCAGAGCAUGGUAACUGACAGACAAGGGAUGUGGUUCUGCAACUGGGAAGCGAACUCGGGCCACCGAAGCAGUGAGAGCACCCAACGUUAACCACUAGGCCAUGAGGGCUGGCUCUCACUCAGUACAUAAUUGCGUAUCCUGGUUUUAAGUCAUUCUGGUUCUUCUAUGUGGGAUGCCGCCACAGCAUGGCUUGAUGAGCAGUGCGUAGGUCUGCACCCAGGAUCUGAACUGGCGAACCCCAGGCUGCCGAAGCAGAGCAUGUGAACUCAACCACUUGGCCGUGGGGUGGGCCACCAAUCAGGCCAAGUUUUUAAUGUAAAAAAAUUAGUUUUACUAUGAUUAUCUUUGGCAAAAAAAUGAGAGUAAUUGUGGAGAGAGAAAUUAUGUGGCACCUUGGUAGGUGUUGGAUUCCAAUUUUCUUUCAGAUUUCUUAAUAUACCUAUAGACUGGACUCCCCUGGCCUAAGGUAUUGCCUUCGGCCUUGCUGACUGUUGGCAGUGCCCUCUUUGGAGAACAUGGACUAACUCCACAUGGACAGUCACCAGCAGAUCAGUGUCUGUUGGUCCACAACCUUCUGCGGCUCCCCUGUUGUCUCAUGUGAGUGUGACCAGCUCCUGUGAGUCUCCACUGUCUUAGCCCCAGCCCAUCACCAACAGGUUAGAGAUGCUGUCCCAGAUUCCAGUGUAAAGGAUCCUGUUGGUCACAGUCUCGAGCCUGGUGACUGGGUAUUCUGGAAGCAUCAGAGGAAGAGGACAGCCCUCGAGCUCCAUGGAAAGGACCUUGCCACGUGCCCCUGACCACUGACACUGCUACAGAACUAGAAGACAUUUAACCUUGGAGAUACAUCUCACAGCUAAAGAGCCGACAUCUGGUGCUGUACAGACCCUGGAGACCUCCCAAUCGAAUUGACUAGGAAGAGAAGAAACCGACAUCUGAGGAGACACCUCCUCCCAGACUCAGGACCUUUUGCUCACUGUUGAGUCUUAC
rnacentral:lncRNA from 1 species